ensembl:lncRNA
GUGCUUCUGAUGAGCAGCCGCUGGCCCAGGACCUCCAGGCCAAUGUGGACCGCGGUGCUCCUCCUGUGCCUGCCCCGUCUGGGCCUUGGAAUGCCCCUCCACGCGCUCCAGUCUCUGUCGCCGGCCAGGAACGAGUCUGCCCAUGGGCCCCAGCCCCCCAGCCCUUCCGGGGCCCUUCCCGUCACACCCACCGUGCUGGCCACCUCCAGCGAAGCCCCCGCCUUGUCCCUCAACCUGGGGCUCAAUUUCAAGAUCAAGGCGGGCGGAGAAAGGACCGGUGGCGCCGGCGGUGCCCUCCCAGGAGGAGGGGGAGAGCAAGGAGCUGGAGUUCAAGAUCGACAUCGACCUGACGGCGGGGCUGGGCAAUGAGGGGGCCCUGGCACCCAACGGCAGCGGCAGCAGCAGCAGCAGCCCCGGCAGGCAGUACCCGCUGCUCCCGGGCCUCAGGGUGGGCAUCAAGGAGAUCACCAGCAAACUGGGUCUCUUCGGAUCCACGCUGCCGCCUGAGACAUGGGAACCCCCGGAGUGGAACGCCACAGGCAGCUCCUGGCAGGAAGAGGGGGACUCGCACCCGACUCCAGUGUGGGUCUCAGGACCAGGCCUGGAGUCCAUCAGCCUGUCCGCCUCCCCGGGCAGCGAGGGGGCGUUUGUGGCCCUGCCCGGCUGCCUGCCUGGUGACCGCCCGGAGGACUGCGGCUCCCCGCGGCCGGAGCUCGACUCGCCCCCGCUCUCCUCCCUGCUCCUGCCCUCCCUCCCCCUGUUCGUGCCUCUGCAUUCGGACUGGAACACGGCCCAGGCCGACUGGGGCCUGGCCUGGGAGGCCCACAUCUUCGGCGCGGGCGCCCUCUUUGCUCUCCUGGCCCUGCUCCACCUGCUGCUGCUGGGGGCCGGGGGCGCGCGGGCCGGGCUGCUCUUCGGCGAGGCCUGGGGGCAGCUGGAGCGCUUCCCCGACGUGGCCGUCCGGCUGAUGCACGACCUGGCCCUGCCGUGCCUGACCUCCGCCUUCGCCGUGGCCUUCCUCCUCCUCUCCCUCCGCUCGCGGCUCCAGCGGUCGGCGCGCCCCGGCUCCCGGCCGGCGUGCCUGCUGGCCCUGCUGGUCGUCCUGCACUUCUCGGUGGCGGCGGGGGCCGUCUUGGCCGCUGACCUGCUGAGCCUCUUCCCCUUCGUGCUCCUGGCCUCGCGAGGGGUCUUUGCCCUCCUGGCGGCCGGGCUGUCCUCCUCCUUCCUCAUCUUCUCCUGGGUGGCCCUUCGCCGAGGCCCGAGAGUGGCAGCGGGCCGCCCGCACCGCUCUCCCGGCCGCCUGCUUCGGACUGCUCAGCGCCGCCCUGCAGACCUACGCCAUCCUGCACGCCCUGGGCUUCGGCCUCAGCCAGGACCUCUUCGGGCCCUGGCCCUGGUGGGCCCUGCAGCUGGCGUGCCGGCUCUGCGAGGCGGGGAUGGGGCUGCCCUUGGCCUGCCUCGGCCUCUACCCGCUCCUCUGCCCGCCCUGCGGCCACGAGGGCUGGGGCCGGUGCUGCGGGCGGCUCCUCUGCCUCUCCCCGGACCACCGCGCCGCCGGGGCCGCCGUCAAGGCCCAGAUCCUGCCCAACAACCAUUUCCAGCAGUGGGGCUUGUCCCAGCACCAGAAGCUGGUGGUCUGCGACACCAUCACCCGCAGCGAGUCCGACUACCUCCCGCUCUACGCCCUGCCCGCCGGCGACCCCUCGGGCGCCCGAG